AGGGACUUCUGCCUAAAGCUGGCACAGAUAUCAAGCCUGGCUUUGUGCCCUGUCCUACUCAGAGGGCAGGCUGGAAAUGGCAGAGGAAUGCCUUUCCCCCUUCCCCAGAUGCCCUCGGCUGAGACACACACACACAAAGCUGCACAUUUCACCCCAUGGCGAGCAGAUGAAGGGGACCUCUGCUUCAGUUUCACUGUGGUUGAUGGAUGGAGCCAGCUGCUCCCCACAUAGAGCAGGAAGGCCGAUGCGGUCCUUUACACUGCCCCCCGGAUUGAAGUACUCACAUUUUGCCACUGGAAAUGAAAGGGCAGGCUCCAUCAGGGACAAGCUGCUGCCGGGAGCAUCAGCUACUUGCUCCCC